rnacentral:rRNA from 1 species
AACGAACGCUGGCGGCAUGCCUAACACAUGCAAGUCGAACGAGACCUUCGGGUCUAGUGGCGCACGGGUGCGUAACGCGUGGGAACCUGCCCUUAGGUUCGGAAUAACUCCCCGAAAGGGGUGCUAAUACCGGAUAAUGUCUUCGGACCAAAGAUUUAUCGCCUUUGGAUGGGCCCGCGUUGGAUUAGCUAGUUGGUAGGGUAAAAGCCUACCAAGGCGACGAUCCAUAGCUGGUCGGAGAGGAGGAUCAGCCACACUGGGACUGAGACACGGCCCAGACUCCGACGGGAGGCAGCAGUGGGGAAUAUUGGACAAUGGGCGAAAGCGUGAUCCAGCAACGCCGCGUGAGUGAUGAAGGCCUUAGGGUUGUAAAGCUCUUUUACCCGGGAUGAUAAUGACAGUACCGGGAGAAGAAGCUCCGGCUAACUCCGUG